rnacentral:tRNA from 3 species
GCUGCUUUAGCUCAGCUGGUAGAGCAUCUCAUUCGUAAUGAGAGGGUCAGGUGUUCAAGUCACCUAAGCAGCACCA